CAGAGUUGCAAAACUCCCACAACCCUUGUGAACAUACCACUGUCGUUGCUUCGGCGGGCAGCCCCUGGGAGGGGCCUCGCCUCCUCGUGAGGUGCCCGCCGGAGGACCAACACAAACUCUUGUUUUAAUCGUCUCUCUGAGAAAACUUUUAAAUAAGUAA
rnacentral:misc_RNA from 1 species